rnacentral:misc_RNA from 1 species
GUUUUGAUUGUAUGUUUUCACGUUCAUUACACAUAGUUGGUAAGACUCGCUCGUGAGAGCUCGUCAACAGUUCACAAUGUUGGAUAUGUUUUAAGGCCGAAGCCAAAUCACUAAUGAUCCUUCCGCAGGUUCACCUACGGAAA